rnacentral:rRNA from 1 species
UACAGAGGGUGCGAGCGUUUAUCGGAAUUACUGGGCGUAAAGGGUGCGUAGGUGGUUCGAUAAGUCAGUUGUGAAAUCCCUGGGCUUAACCUGGGAAUUGCAUUUGAUACUGUCGAACUAGAGUGUGGUAGAGGUAAGCGGAAUUCCCGGUGUAGAGGUGAAAUUCGUAGAUAUCGGGAGGAACACCGGUGGCGAAGGCGGCGACCUGGGUAGAUACUGACGCUGAGGUGCGAAAGCGUGGGGAGCAAACAGG